UACGUAGGGGGCAAGCGUUGUCCGGAUUUAUUGGGCGUAAAGAGCGUGUAGGCGGCCAGGUAGGUCUGCUGUGAAAACUCGAGGCUUAACCUCGAGCUGUCGGCGGAAACCAUCUGGCUAGAGUCCGGAAGAGGAGAAUGGAAUUCCCGGUGUAGCGGUGAAAUGCGCAGAUAUCGGGAAGAACACCCGUGGCGAAGGCGGUUCUCUGGGACGGUACUGACGCUGGGACGCGAAAGCGUGGGGAGCGAACAGG
rnacentral:rRNA from 1 species